UACGGGGGGGGCAAGCGUUGUUCGGAAUUACUGGGCGUAAAGGGUGCGUAGGCGGCUUUCUAAGUUGGAUGUGAAAACUAUGGGCUCAACCCAUAGCCUGCAUCCAAAACUGGAGAGCUUGGGUUCUGGAGGGGAAAGCGGAAUUCCUGGUGUAGCGGUGAAAUGCGUAGAUAUCAGGAGGAACCCCGGUGGCGAAGGCGGCUUUCUGGACAGACACCGACGCUGAGGCACGAAAGCUAGGGGAGCAAACAGG
rnacentral:rRNA from 1 species